CAGGCCUAACACAUGCAAGUCGAACGGUAACAGGAAAAGCUUGCUUUUCGCUGACGAGUGGCGCACGGGUGCGUAACGCGUAUGCAACUUGCCUUCUACAGGGGGAUAGCCCAUGGAAACGUGGAUUAAAACCGCAUAAUACUAAUGGAUCGCAUGGUUUAUUAGUUAAAGCUUCGGUGGUAGAAGAUGGGCAUGCGUAGGAUUAGCUAGUUGGUAGUGUAAUGGACUACCAAGGCAACGAUCCUUAGGGGUUCUGAGAGGAUGAUCCCCCACACUGGUACUGAGACACGGACCAGACUCCUACGGGAGGCAGCAGUGAGGAAUAUUGGUCAAUGGGCGAGGGCCUGAACCAGCCAUGCCGCGUGCAGGAAGACGGCCCUAUGGGUUGUAAACUGCUUUUAUACAGGAAUAAAUGUGGAUACGUGUAUCCAUUUGAAUGUACUGUACGAAUAAGGACCGGCUAACUCCGUGCCAGCAGCCGCGGUAAUACGGAGGGUCCAAGCGUUAUCCGGAAUUAUUGGGUUUAAAGGGUCCGCAGGCGGGUUUUUAAGUCAGUGGUGAAAUCUUGCAGCUUAACUGUAAAACUGCCAUUGAUACUGAGAAUCUUGAGUUUGCGUGCUGUGGGCGGAAUGAGGCAUGUAGCGGUGAA
rnacentral:rRNA from 1 species